rnacentral:pre_miRNA from 1 species
AUACUACUCCCUCCGUCCCAAAAUUCUUGUCUUAGAUUUGUCUAGAUACGGAUGUAUCUAAUACUAAAACGUGACUUGAUACAUCCGUAUUUAGACAAAUAUAAGACAAGAAUUUUGGGACGGAGGGAGUAUUAC